rnacentral:rRNA from 1 species
AAUAUUGGACAAUGGGCGCAAGCCUGAUCCAGCCAUGCCGCGUGAGUGAUGAAGGCCUUAGGGUUGUAAAGCUCUUUCAGCGGGGAAGAUAAUGACGGUACCCGUAGAAUAAGCACAGGCUAACUUCGUGCCAGGCGCCGCGGUAAUACGAAGGGGGCUGGCGUUGCUCGGAAUCACUGGGCGUAAAGCGCACGUAGGCGGCUUUCUAAGUCAGGGGUGAAAUCCUGUAGCUCAACUCCAGAACUGCCUUUGCUACUGGAAAGCUUGAGUUCGGGAGAGGUGAGUGGAACUGCGAGUGUAGAGGUGAAAUUCGUAGAUAUUCGCAAGAACACCAGUGGCGAAGGCGGCUCACUGGCCCGAUACUGACGCUGAGGUGCGAAAGCGUGGGGAGCAAACAGG